UAACUUAUUUGGCCCCGGGACCAGGAUGAUCACGAAUGCCUUUGCCUCAAGUGGAGGCUCGCCCUUGCACUCUGGCGCGUUGAAGCCUGCAACGAUCCCUAAUCGGGAUGGCUCAGACUCGCAAUUUUUGACAGUGCGGACUUCCUCGGACGAUCCCUU
rnacentral:snRNA from 13 species